CUAGACCAGGACCAGAGUUAUAGUUAGGGCCUAUAGGGAGAAUAUAACUAGACCAGAGUUAUAGUUAGGGUCUAUAGGGAGAAUAUAACUAGACAAGAGUUACAGUUAGGGUCUAUAGGGAGGAUAUAACUAGACCAGAGUUAUAGUUAGGGUCUAUAGGGAGGAUAUAACUAGACCAGGACCAGAGUUAUAGUUAGGGUCUAUAGGGAGAACAUAACUAGACCAGGACCAGAGCUAUAGUUAGGGUCUACAGGGAGAAUAUAACUAGACCAGGACCAGAGUUAUAGUUAGGGUCUAUAGGGAGAAUAUAACUAGACCAGGACCAGAGCUAUAGUUAGGGUCUAUAGGGAGAAUAUAACUAGACCAGGACCAGAGCUAUAGUUAGGGUCUACAGGGAGAAUAUAACUAGACCAGGACCAGAGUUAUAGUUAGGGUCUAUAGGGAGAAUAUAACUAGACCAGGACCAGAGCUAUAGUUAGGGUCUAUAGGGAGAAUAUAACUAGACGAGGACCAGAGUUAUAGUUAGGGACCUUUUGUGAGAAUAUAACUAGACCAGAUUAUGGUUUGGGGCCUAUGGGGAGAAUAUAACUGGACCAGAGUUAUAGUUAGGGGCUAUAGGGAGAAUAUAACUGGACCAGGACCAGAGUUAUGAUUAGGGUCUAUUGGGAGAAUAUAACUAGACCAGGACCAGAGUUAUAGUUGGGGUGUAUAGGGAGAAUAUAACUAGACCAGGACCAGAGUUAUAGUUAGGGUCUAUAGGGAGAAUAUAACUAGACCAGAGAUACAGCAAGGGCCUAUAGGGAGAAUAUAACUAGACCAGGACCUGAGUUAUAGUUAGGGCCUAUAGGGAGAAUAUAACUAGACCAGGACCAGAGUUA
rnacentral:lncRNA from 1 species